AUUGAACGCUGGCGGCAUGCCUUACACAUGCAAGUCGAACGGUAACAGGUCUUCGGAUGCUGACGAGUGGCGAACGGGUGAGUAAUACAUCGGAACGUGCCUAGUAGUGGGGGAUAACUACUCGAAAGAGUGGCUAAUACCGCAUGAGAUCUACGGAUGAAAGCAGGGGAUCGCAAGAACUUGUGCUACCAGAGCGGCCGAUGGCAUAUUAAGUAGUUGGUGGGAUAAAAGCUUACAAAGCCGACGAUCUGUAGCUGGUCUGAGAGGACGAUCAGGCACACUGGGACUGAGACACGGCCCAGACUCCUACGGGAGGCAGCAGUGGGGAAUUUUGGACAAUGGGCGAAAGCCUGAUCCAGCAAUGCCGCGUGCAGGAUGAAGGCCUUCGGGUUGUAAACUGCUUUUGUACGGAACGAAAAGCCCCGGGUUAAUACCCUGGGGUCAUGACGGUACCGUAAGAAUAAGCACCGGCUAACUACGUGCCAGCCGCCGCUGUAA
rnacentral:rRNA from 1 species